rnacentral:rRNA from 1 species
GAUAAACGCUGGCGGCGUGCUUCAGGCAUGCAAGUCGAACGGACUAUAGGACUUCGGGUCCUGUAGUUAGUGGCGGACGGGUGAGUAACACGUAAGUAACCUGCCCAGAAGUGGGGAAUAACUAGCCGAAAGGCUGGCUAAUACCGCAUGUGAUGGUCCUUCCCUGGAGGGAUCAUUAAAGGCUUCGGUCGCUUCUGGAGGGGCUUGCGGCUGAUUAGCUU